rnacentral:rRNA from 1 species
UAGGGAAUCUUCCACAAUGGACGCAAGUCUGAUGGAGCAACGCCGCGUGAGUGAAGAAGGCUUUCGGGUCGUAAAACUCUGUUAUUGAAGAAGAACGUGUGUGACAGUAACUGGUCAUGCAGUGACGGUAUUCAAUCAGAAAGUCACGGCUAACUACGUGCCAGCAGCCGCGGUAAUACGUAGGUGGCAAGCGUUGUCCGGAUUUAUUGGGCGUAAAGCGAGUGCAGGCGGUCUUUUAAGUCUGAUGUGAAAGCCUUCGGCUUAACCGAAGAAGGGCAUCGGAAACUGGGAGACUUGAGUGCAGAAGAGGAGAGUGGAACUCCAUGUGUAGCGGUGAAAUGCGUAGAUAUAUGGAAGAACACCAGUGGCGAAGGCGGCUCUCUGGUCUGUAACUGACGCUGAGGCUCGAAAGCGUGGGUAGCAAACAGGAUUAGAUACCCUGGUAGUCCAUGCCGUAAACGAUGAAUACUAAGUGUUGGAGGGUUUCCGCCCUUCAGUGCUGCAGCUAACGCAUUAAGUAUUCCGCCUGGGGAGUACGACCGCAAGGUUGAAAC